GCCUGGCUGGCUCAAUUGGUAGAGCACGUGACUCUUGAUCUCGGGUUUGUAGGUUUGAGCCCCACAUUGGGUA
rnacentral:tRNA from 1 species